ensembl:lncRNA
CUAGGCUAGUUUUAUACACUACUCUACUUUUAUACACUAGGCUACUUUUAUACACUACUCUAGUUUUAUACACUACUCUACUUUUAUACACUAGGCUAGUUUUAUACACUAGGCUAGUUUUAUACACUAGGCUAGUUUUAUACACUACUCUAGUUUUAUACACUACUCUACUUUUAUACAUUAGGCUAGUUUUAUACACUACUUUUAUACAUUAGGCUAGUUUUAUACACUACUCUAGUUUUAUGCACUACUCUACUUUUAUACACUAGGCUAGUUUUAUACACUAGGCUAGUUUUAUACACUACUCUACUUUUAUACACUAGGCUAGUUUUAUACACUACUCUAGUUUUAUACACUAGGCUAGUUUUAUACACUACUCUACUUUUAUACACUAGGCUAGUUUUAUACACUAGGCUAG